GCAGUGGUGGUUCAGUGAUAGAAUUCUUACCUUCUAUGGGGGAAACCAAGGUUAGAUUCCUGGCCAACGCA
rnacentral:tRNA from 1 species